rnacentral:rRNA from 1 species
AUGGAUUUCCCUCGAUUUGACGGCUCCAAUCCACAAGAAUGGCUCAGGCUCAUUGAAAAAUACUUUGCAAUGGUCUAUGUGCCUAAAAACGCCAAAUUUGAUUAUGCCCAGAUGUAUAUUACUGGAAGGGCUAACACAUGGCUUAGAAAUCUAGGAGUAUUACAAGCAAACCUUACUUGGUCAGAUUUCUGUAAAGCUCUCUGCAAGCGAUUUGCUACCAGCAGCUCUUAUGAAGCAGUAGCAAACUUCAAUGCUCUCAAGCAAGGGGCAAAUUCUAUGGCAGAGUAUACUGACAGGUUUAAAGAAAUGAUGGCUUCCUACAGGAAAGAAAAUCCCAAGGUCAAAGAACAAUAUUAUGUCAAGUGUUACAUUAACGGACUAAGGGAGGAAAUCAAACACUACCUCAAACCAUUUAAGCGAGUCACUCUGUAUGAUGCAGUGGAAACGGCAAGGGACAUGGAACAAGGAGCUAGUGUUGCUGCUACUCAAGCAAAAAGAUACCAACCUACAGGGUUGUAUCCGAGAAACAAUACCCCUACCAAUUUUCCAAAUAGACCAAAGCCACCUGACAAUAUGGGUAAUAAACCACCAGAAAAACAAGGCACCAGACCCGAAGUCAAGUACAAAGAACCAGGGCAGUGUAGAUACUGUGGCCAAAGAUGGUUUUUUGGCCACAAAUGUGCCCAAUACAAAUCACUAAACCUCAUGGCAACUGAGGAGUCAGAAGCAGAGUGGGAGGACUAG